ensembl:lncRNA
GUAUUUACCCCUUUGUGUAAUUUCCUACCCUUGGAUGUGGGAAGAAACUAGUUAAUGCCUCUUUUCUGACAAUAGUAUAUGGACAAAAAACUGGGAUGUCACAUUUAUGAUUGAGUUACACAAGAUUUUGACCCCUCGUGUCUUGCUAGCAGACUCUCUCAUUUCCUUGGCUUACAUCUUCAUUGAACAGGCUACCAUAUUGGAGAAGCCCAUGGAACUAGGAACCAAGGUUGGCUUCUGGACAACAGCCUGCAAGGAACUUGGGAAUGCCAACAACCAUGUGAACUUAGAAGUGCAUCCUUCCCUAGUCAAGCCUUGAAAUGAUUGUAGCCCCAAGACCCCUUCUGUACAGCCUGUGAGAGAUCCAGAAGCAGAGGACCCAGGUAUUGCCUUUUCACCUCCAAUUGCUUCCCAGCCUUCCAGAACGCCAGGUGGCCUGCUGGUCUGCUCUGUCCUGUGACAUAUCCUCCUGCUCUGUUUUGUAUCAGCACAGGGAGCUUCAGGAAGCAACAGCUUUUUCCUGCUACUGCUAUUCUGGCCAGCUCUCCUCUCCUGCCUAACCAGCCGUGGUCCAUAUGGAUAAUGGCUUAGGGAAAUCUCUCUCCUUCAGAACAGCCUUUGGAUCUAUGAAACUCAAAGGAGAGAUGACAUUUCUUCUUCAAGAUACUGUCUUCAUGCCUCUGAAAGCUGGCAUCUGCAGAGCUGCUGUCAUAGCUCCAUCAAGGGAGCCAAUGGCCCCGAGUAACUCCUGGUUGCAGAGGAUAAGAUGGUUGGAUGGCAUCACCAACUCAAUGGACAUGAGUUUGAGCAAGCCUGGUAUUCUCCAGUCCAUGGGGUCACAAAGAGUCGAACAUGACUGAGCAACUGAACAAGAACAACCUCCUCAACGCAGAGCACCAUGCCACAAAACAGAGCUGUCAAAGAGCAUGGGUUCUGAAGCCAGGUUGUCUGCUUCCAAUUCUGAUCCAAACACUUGCUAGCUGUGUGGCUUUGGGUGAACUAUUUACCCUCAGACAUGCUAAAUUAACCUAGUGAAGUUAAUAUGAAGAAUUAUCCAUGUGAAGUACUUAGGGCUGUCCCUGACACAUAAUUAGCAUUCAGUACUUG